rnacentral:rRNA from 1 species
CCUACGGGAGGCAGCAGUGGGGGAUAUUGGACAAUGGGGGGAACCCUGAUCCAGCGACGCCGCGUGAGUGAAGAAGUAUUUCGGUAUGUAAAGCUCUGUCAGCAGGGAAGAAAGAAAUGACGGUACCUGACCAAGAAGCCCGGGCUAACUACGUGCCAGCAGCCGCGGUAAUACGGAGGGGGCAAGCGUUAUCCGGAAUUACUGGGUGUAAAGGGAGCGUAGACGGUUAAGUAAGUCUGGAGUGAAAGGCCGGGGCCCAACCCCGGGACUGCUCUGGAAACUAUUGAACUUGAGUGCAGGAGAGGUAAGCGGAAUUCCUAGUGUAGCGGUGAAAUGCGUAGAUAUUAGGAGGAACACCAGUGGCGAAGGCGGCUUACUGGACUGUAACUGACGUUGAGGCUCGAAAGCGUGGGGAGCAAACAGGAUUAGAUACCCGUGUAGUC